UUGUAUAACGUGGCGCUACAGUCGAAUACAAGAGAAAGAAAAGAAGAAAAAAAUUUAUCGACAACGUUAAGAUUGAAAAGCAAGAGAAUUCUUUCAACAGUAUCAAGUAUUGAAAGUUAAAUUUUUUCAUUUUGAUCACUACCUUUGCAAUUUAUUCAUACCCGAAAUUACUAAUCAUCAAGAACUACUAACGCCGCCACUAUCGCCACCGCCACUGCCGACACUUUCGAUUGUUGACGGGCGCCGCCAUCUUGCCGUAGUAGCAGUAUUGAACAGCAGCAAAUUUCUCAUUCUCUGUGCGCCUGAUACAAAACUGUAGUAAGUUAUCUGCACAAGCUGUGGGAUAUCUAAGUGAACUUAACUCUUGUAACGUGAUAUUGAUCAAAUAUAUCUUGAGAAAGACGCUCGAUACGUUUACAAGAAUUCGACGUAAAGCAUUAUUUAAAAAAAUUAAAAGAUAUAUUGAAAGAGAUAUCCUUUCAUUAUAUUAUCCGUCAUUUUCUUUUAUUGGAAUAUAUAAAGUGUAUAAUUGUAGCAUUGAGUUAAAGUUUGAAAACACAUUAAUACUAGCCGAUACGUUGAAUAGCCAAGAUGACUGAAAGAGAGGACAACGUGUACAAGGCAAAGCUUGCCGAACAGGCGGAGCGUUAUGACGAAAUGGUGGAAGCCAUGAAAAAAGUUGCUUCUCUAGAUAUAGAACUUACAGUAGAGGAAAGAAAUCUUCUUUCUGUGGCAUAUAAAAAUGUCAUUGGAGCAAGACGAGCAUCUUGGAGAAUUAUUUCCAGUAUUGAACAGAAAGAAGAAACUAAAGGUGCAGAGGAGAAACUGGAAAUGAUACGCCAAUACAGAUCUCAAGUAGAAAAAGAAUUAAAAGACAUUUGUGCAGAUAUUUUGGGUGUGCUAGAAAAGCAUCUAAUUCCAUGCUCAUCAACUGGAGAAUCUAAAGUUUUCUAUUACAAAAUGAAGGGAGAUUACCAUCGUUAUUUAGCAGAAUUUGCUAUUGCAAAUGAUAGAAAAGAAGCAGCAGAAAGUUCUCUCUUAGCGUACAAAGCCGCAAGCGAUAUAGCUAUGACAGAUUUGCCUCCAACUCACCCAAUUCGCUUAGGAUUAGCGCUUAACUUUUCAGUGUUUUAUUAUGAAAUCUUAAAUAGCCCAGAUAGGGCAUGUCGUUUGGCAAAAGCAGCUUUUGACGAUGCCAUUGCAGAAUUGGACACUCUAUCAGAAGAAAGUUACAAAGAUUCCACUCUCAUUAUGCAGCUUCUCAGGGACAAUCUCACUUUAUGGACUUCAGAUAUGCAAGGGGAUGAAAAUGAUACUGAGAUACCAAGAUUUCAAGGACUUUUACAUUAAUAACCUAUUCAUAAUAACCCUUUUCCUUUAUCCUAUAAUUAAUGAAAAUGGAAAUCCUCAGCUGAUGCUGAGCAAAGAGAACAGCUACAGGAUGUUGAAGAUCAGGAUGUAUCGUAACUCUAGUUGCAGUGAGUGUUAAAUACGCAUAUAAAUGAGACAAGAAAAACUCUUAAGAAUUAUUAAGCAAAAGAAAAAUCAGUUCAGCAACAAGGAGCUUGGGACAGAAAAGAAAGGUCUUUAGCAAUUUGCGUGACCUUAUAUACAAACGCACGAUUACUCCAAAAAUCAUCCAAUCACACAUGUUGAGUUACGGAGCAUGCAGAAAUAAAAAUAUAUAAUAAGGAAACAGAUGUAAAUGAUAUGCACCCAGCAAUAUAGUGAGAUUGCAAGCAUUUAUACACAUGGCAAUUUUUUCGCGUUGCCGAAUCGUGCAGUGAAAAAAAACUUUUGAGAUCUCAAGUGUUAUCCUUGCAUAAUGAUGCCUGGAUUUAAAUUCUGUAGUAGCUACAUCUUUUAUUUAUAAGGCAUGGUCUGCACAUAAACAUUUUUUACGUUUCUGGUUGGAUUAUAAAAAUGGAGAGAUCCUGUUAGUGUAUUGCACGAAAUUUAAUAUGUUCAUAGUAUUAAUAUCAUUUAAUAAUCUUUCUUUUCAGAAAUUACUUAAUG